rnacentral:rRNA from 1 species
AUUGAACGCUGGCGGCAUGCCUUACACAUGCAAGUCGAACGGCAGCAUAGGAGCUUGCUCCUGAUGGCGAGUGGCGGACGGGUGAGUAAUAUAUCGGAACGUGCCCUAGAGUGGGGGAUAACUAGUCGAAAGACUAGCUAAUACCGCAUACGAUCUACGGAUGAAAGUGGGGGAUCGCAAGACCUCAUGCUCCUGGAGCGGCCGAUAUCUGAUUAGCUAGUUGGUGGGGUAAAAGCCUACCAAGGCAACGAUCAGGAGCUGGUCUGAGAGGACGACCAGGAAGACUGGGACUGAGACACGGCCCAGACUCCUACGGGAGGCAGCAGUGGGGAAUUUUGGACAAUGGGGGCAACCCGGAUCCAGCAAUGCCGCGUGAGUGAAGAAGGCCUUCGGGUUGUAAAGCUCUUUUGUCAGGGAAGAAACGGUAGUAGCGAAUAACUAUUACUAAUGACGGUACCUGAAGAAUAAGCACCGGCUAACUACGUGCCAGCCGCCGCCGUAA